CGCUCAGCCCCGGGCGGGUCCCUUGCCCUGUGUCCCUUGCACUGCCUUCACAGGGCACGCUACACUCUCGCCCUGGCUCGUCUUGCUCUUUCAGUUAUCUGUGGUGCUGCCCCCUCCUAGCCCUGCCCUCACUGUCAUCCUGCUCCCACAGCACGCUUCAGCCGCGCCCCGACCCUGUCAGCCACUCAAGCCGCGCCCCCGCCGGGCACAGCCCCCUUUCCCUACUCCUCUCCCGCCAGCGCAGGCUCCGGCCUUGCCCCGACUGUCACGCAGGCCCCGACCCCACCACGUGGUCAGUGAGCGUGCAGGCGGGAGCCCCCACGUUGCAUGCUACCACUGAGGCAAAGGAGGCGAAGCCGCGCCCGGAGCAGGGCAGGACCGUGCAGCCCGCACGCUCUGAGAGCGGGAAAGGCACUGAGCGGCCGGACAGAACCCAGCCACCAUGCUGUGAGGAAGCCAAAUUAGCCCAUGCGGAGAGAACGAAGGAGAGGUCUGUAUGUGGUUUGGCUGCAGCCCAGCUGAGGUGCCAGUCUACAACCAGCCUCUAGCCAGCCUCAACUUCUGGACAUGAGUACCUCCAGAUGAUCCCAGCCCCAGGCAUCAAACCCCUCUUAGCCAUCAAGUUUUCCCAGCUAAGGCCCCAGAUGUCAUGGAACAUCUCUGUUGUGCCCUUCCGAAUUCCUGACCCAGAGAAUCCGUUAACAUCAGACAGCUGGUUUAUACACUGACUUUAUCAGGGGAUUUGUUAUGCAGCGAUAGUAACUGGAACAGUAACCAAAUGUUAUUUGGGUUCAGUAUACCCGACUCCUCAUUUGAUUCAGUUGUUUCAGAACUUGGACAAGAAAGAGUCUUAGGUAUUGACAUUCAAAACCCCACCACUCAAUUUCAGUUCAAUAUCAUCUCCUUUGAGAGGCUUUCCCUGACCCCUGUGGAAAGUACCCUCUCUAAUCAGUCCCAAAUUACACACAUAGAAACCCACAGGCUCGCUUGGCCUGCACGCUCUACACACCAAGCCUGUUCACUCAGGUCCCUGCAUGUCCAGACUGGGAUGAAGUGGGAUCAGGCUGUGCGAUGGAUUAAAUGUUUAUGUCCCUCCUAUAUGUUAAACCUAAUCCUUGGUAUUUGGAGGUGGGGCCCCUGGGGUGUGAUUAGGUCAUGAGGGUACAGCCCUGAUGAAUUGGAUUGGGAACCUUACAAAAGAGACCCCAGAGCGCUUUCUCGCCCCUUCUGCCAUGUGAGGUUACAAUGAGAAGACAGCUCUCUAUGAACCAGAAGACAGCUUUCACCAGCUAUGGAAUCUGCCACCACCUUGCUCUUGGACUUCCAGCCUCCAGAAUGGUGAGAAAUAAAUUUCCGUUGCUUAUAAAAUACUCAAUGUAUGAUAUGUUAUUAUAGCAGCCUGAACUGACUAAGGCUGCUGUUAGAUUGACACUUCACUAUAUUUAAUAAAUAUUUAUUAUUUAAGUAUA